AUUUCAAGAUCAGUGGACUUGCUCUUGGCCUAAUUACUCUAGUCAUAUUUAUACAAAUAACAAUCAAUCAUAACGACGAGCGUACGUGCGUCCUGGCGCACGAUUGGUGCUCACUUUUGCUUCAUUAAACCCGUCCGCGCCAUCUGCAUUUACGUUAUCACAAGUAACAGUCAAAACUGCUCUCUGGAAUACUUCAAGGAAAUCUACAAAGAAUAGUGAAUUGUCGACUACAAAAGAACUACUAAACAAUGCAACUAAUUCUACAUCUACUAGAUCUAGAAGAUUCUACGACAGUUGUGCAGUUUGACGAACUCUAAGUGCUUGUGCUUGUGCAUCUACCACUCCUGUAGACAUUAUCAUUGUGCAUUGUGCAAAUAUCCUGUGCAUACACUGAAUGACCUGCCAAGAGAAUGGAACCACUGGGGGUUCUUCUUUCUUUUCCGGUUCUGGAGUUUCUAUUGACGGUACCUGAUGAUAUA